rnacentral:rRNA from 1 species
GCUCAGUAACACGUAGUCAACAUGCCCAGGGGACGUGGAUAACCUCGGGAAACUGAGGAUAAACCGCGAUAGGUCAUCACUUCUGGAAUGGGUAAUGACUUAAAUCUAUAUGGCCCCUGGAUUGGACUGCGGCCGAUCAGGCUGUUGGUGAGGUAAUGGCCCACCAAACCUGUAACCGGUACGGGCUCUGAGAGGAGGAGCCCGGAGAUGGGCACUGAGACAAGGGCCCAGGCCCUAUGGGGCGCAGCAGGCGCGAAACCUCUGCAAUAGGCGAAAGCUUGACAGGGUUACUCUGAGUGAUUUCCGUUAAGGAGAUCUUUUGGCACCUCUAAAAAUGGUGCAGAAUAAGGGGUGGGCAAGUCUGGUGUCAGCCGCCGCGGUAAUACCAGCACCCCGAGUGGUCGGGACGUUUAUUGGGCCUAAAGCAUCCGUAGCCGGUUCUACAAGUCUUCCGUUAAAUCCACCUGCUUAACAGAUGGGCUGCGGAAGAUACUAUAGAGCUAGGAGGCGGGAGAGGCAAGCGGUACUCGAUGGGUAGGGGUAAAAUCCGUUGAUCCAUUGAAGACCACCAGUGGCGAAGGCGGCUUGCCAGAACGCGCUCGACGGUGAGGGAUGAAAGCUGGGGGAGCAAACCGGAUUAGAUACCCGGGUAGUCCCAGCUGUAAACGAUGCAGACUCGGUGAUGAGUUGGCUUAUUGCUAACUCAGUGCCGCAGGGAAGCCGUUAAGUUUGCCGCCUGGGGAGUACGGUCGCAAGACUGAAACUAAAGGAAUUGGCGGGGGAGCACCA